rnacentral:tRNA from 1 species
GCCGAGGUGGCCUAGCCUAGUUAUGGCACCAGGCUACACCCGUCAGGGUGAAACUCAUAAUCCUGGGCUGGGAAGAGUGAUCUGGGGGUCGAGGGCGCGAAUCCCUCCCUCGGCACCA